GGGAUGAAGACCACGUAGGGGAUGGAAUUGCCAGAGAAGAUAUCGCAAUGGUUACAGGGAACGUCCAAGUUUGUCUGUACAGUGUCUUCGAGUCUGGGGAUGCAGUGCGAUAAAACUGGGGCACUCUUGAAGAAAGGAAUAGCGAAAACUGGAAGGCAGAUGAAGAACGGAAAAAGAACAAGAAAACACGCAAUAUUUAAAAAUCGCUGUAUUGAGAUACACUACUCUUCAUGAAGUGAGAUUAUUUCACGAUUGCAGCUUGGACAUUGCGAAGCAAGGACAGGCUGUGAAGUCAUCAUUACGUCCAUACGUCUGUGGCACCGGACAAUAAGGUCCGAAAUAAAUAUUUUUGAUCGUGCUCUUGCAAUCUGCAUCAAUGAGAGGAACAUCUCGAAAAUAUUUGGAUCAUACUUUUCCACGCAGAAUCUGCUACGUUUAGGAAGAUCACCGGGGCAAAAGGAACAUGAUAAAAGGAGGUCUCCCGA